UACGUAGGGUGCGAGCGUUAAUCGGAAUUACUGGGCGUAAAGCGUGCGCAGGCGGUCUUGCAAGCUGGGUGUGAAAGCCCCGGGCUCAACCUGGGAGGUGCAUUCAGGACUGCGAGGCUGGAGUGCGGCAGAGGGAGGUGGAAUUCCACGUGUAGCAGUGAAAUGCGUAGAGAUGUGGAGGAACACCGAUGGCGAAGGCAGCCUCCUGGGCCGACACUGACGCUCAUGCACGAAAGCGUGGGGAGCAAACAGGAUUAGAUACCCUGGUAGUCCACGCCCUAAACGAUGUCGACUGGUUGUUGGGGAAGGCAACUUCCUUAGUAACGAAGCUAACGCGUGAAGUCGACCGCCUGGGGAGUACGGCCGCAAGGUUAAA
rnacentral:rRNA from 1 species